rnacentral:rRNA from 1 species
UACGUAGGCAGCGAGCGUUGUUCGGAGUUACUGGGCGUAAAGGGUGUGUAGGCGGUUGUUUAAGUUUGGUGUGAAAGCCCCGGCUCAACUGGGAGGGUCACUCGAUACUGAUCGACUCGAAGGCAGAAGAGGGAAGCGGAAUUCCCGGUGUAGUGGUGAAAUGCGUAGAUAUCGGGAGGAACACCAGUGGCGAAGGCGGCUUUCUGGUCUGCUCUUGACGCUGAGGCGCGAAAGCUAGGGUAGCAAACGGGG